rnacentral:rRNA from 1 species
UCACACCCGUUCCCAUGCCGAACACGGAAGUUAAG